UACGUAGGGCGCAAGCGUUGUCCGGAAUUAUUGGGCGUAAAGAGCUCGUAGGCGGCUUGUUGCGUCGACUGUGAAAACCCGCGGCUUAACUGCGGGCUUGCAGUUGAUACGGGCAGGCUAGAGUUCGGUAGGGGAGACUGGAAUUCCUGGUGUAGCGGUGAAAUGCGCAGAUAUCAGGAGGAACACCGGUGGCGAAGGCGGGUCUCUGGGCCGAUACUGACGCUGAGGCGCGAAAGCUAGGGGAGCAAACGGG
rnacentral:rRNA from 1 species